rnacentral:tRNA from 1 species
CUAAGGAGCGUCAUUCGCAAGAGUGACCAAUGGGUCAACGCUUUCAUUCAGCGAGUCGAAAGAUUCGCACUAUCCGACUUUCAAAGACGCUUCGAUUCUCGAGGCGUCUUUGGAUUUUGUGCAAGCGAGUCCGAACGGGCCCGUAGCUCAGCUGGGAGAGCGCCUGGUUUGCAUCCAGGAGGUCGUCGGUUCGAACCCGGUCGGGUCCACCAAACCUUCCCGGAGGAAGAAUAGAGGGCCUAUAGCUCAGUCUGGUUAGAGCGCACGCCUGAUAAGCGUGAGGUCGGUGGUUCGAAUCCACCUAGGCCCACCACUUAGGCUGCAGGCACAAAAGGAAGUUGAUCUGAGGUGAGAAGCACGGGAAGUGCUUUUGAACUCAGCUCAAGGGCUGGAAGACACAGAAUCUUUGAUAGUCACAUAGAGAAAAUAGAAGGGUGAUCCAUCGUGCUUCAGGGCAUGGUGGGCUUAAGGCGAGGCAAGUUAGCAAUAACAAACAAACUCUCAAGCAAAGUAAGAGAUCUGAAGUCGAUGUAAUUCAUUGAUGGAA